AUUGAACGCUGGCGGCAGGCCUAACACAUGCAAGUCGAGCGGCAGCGGGACCUUCGGGUUGCCGGCGAGCGGCGGACGGGUGAGUAAUGCCUAGGAAUCUGCCUGUUAGUGGGGGAUAACGCGGGGAAACUCGCGCUAAUACCGCAUACGUCCUACGGGAGAAAGCGGGGGCUCUUCGGACCUCGCGCUAACAGAUGAGCCUAGGUCGGAUUAGCUAGUUGGUGGGGUAAUGGCCCACCAAGGCGACGAUCCGUAACUGGUCUGAGAGGAUGAUCGGUACAACGGGAACUGCGACAGGGUCGAGACGCCUACGGGAGGCAGCAGUGGGGAAUAUUGGACAAUGGGCGAAAGCCUGAUCCAGCCAUGCCGCGUGUGUGAAGAAGGUCUUCGGAUUGUAAAGCACUUUAAGUCGGGAGGAAGGGCUGUAGGCUAAUACCUUGCAGUUUUGACGUUACCGACAGAAUAAGCACCGGCUAACUUCGUGCCAGCAGCCGCCGUAA
rnacentral:rRNA from 1 species